rnacentral:rRNA from 1 species
AUUGAACGCUGGCGGCAGGCCUAACACAUGCAAGUCGAGCGGAGCGGCGGACGGGUGAGUAAUGCCUAGGAAUCUGCCUGGUAGUGGGGGAUAACGUCCGGAAACGGGCGCUAAUACCGCAUACUAUCAGAUGAGCCUAGGUCGGAUUAGCUAGUUGGUGGGGUAAAGGCCUACCAAGGCGACGAUCCGUAACUGGUCUGAGAGGAUGAUCAGUCAAAAUGGGACUGGGAAACGGUUCCAGCUCCUACGGGAGGCAGGCGGGGGGAAUAUUUGGCAAAGGGCGAAAGCCUGAUCCAGCCAUGCCGCGUGUGUGAAGAAGGUCUUCGGAUUGUAAAGCACUUUAAGUUGGGAGGCGUUACCAACAGAAUAAGCACCGGCUAACUUCGUGCCAGCCGCCGCGGUAAUUC